rnacentral:rRNA from 1 species
AGCAGUGGGGAAUAUUGGACAAUGGGGGGAACCCUGAUCCAGCCAUGCCGCGUGUGUGAAGAAGGCCUUAUGGUUGUAAAGCACUUUAAGCGAGGAGGAGGCUACUAGUAUUAAUACUACUGGAUAGUGGACGUUACUCGCAGAAUAAGCACCGGCUAACUCUGUGCCAGCAGCCGCGGUAAUACAGAGGGUGCGAGCGUUAAUCGGAUUUACUGGGCGUAAAGCGUGCGUAGGCGGCCAUUUAAGUCAAAUGUGAAAUCCCCGAGCUUAACUUGGGAAUUGCAUUCGAUACUGGAUGGCUAGAGUAUGGGAGAGGAUGGUAGAAUUCCAGGUGUAGCGGUGAAAUGCGUAGAGAUCUGGAGGAAUACCGAUGGCGAAGGCAGCCAUCUGGCCUAAUACUGACGCUGAGGUACGAAAGCAUGGGGAGCAAACAGGAUUAGA